UUUGAACUAUAACCACAUAAAUAUCAUUCAUUUAGUGUUGAAAUGUGCAAAUAUACCAUGCAGAGUUAUUUAUACAUUGAAUUCAUCUACAUGAUCUCAUGUGAGCCUUCCAUUCACUAUUAUCACCCUCCCUCUUUUUCAGAUGAGGAAACUCAGACCUUGAGAAGCUGCACGGCUAAUCCAAGGUCAUAAAGCUUGUCAAACCAGGCAAGGAUGCAAAACUAGUUCUCUUGAAUCUGGGUCUCAAGGAAAUCAAGAAGAAGAAGAAGCCAAUCAGAAGAAAACAGUGGCAUCUUCUCACCAUGCAACUAACAUCCUGCUACUUUUGUCCUUGUGCCCUCUGCAUUGCCUCCUAUUUCGAAGGAUGAAGAGCUCAAGCUCCUGGAUUGGGUCUCCUUCCAAGGAGGCGAAUGUUCCGGAUAAACUCUGGGGCGAGAGGCAAUGGCAAACUGAAGAAGUCCUUCCUUUCUAGAGCCAAGUUGUUCACCUUCCAACGGGCAAACUCCCUGGAGGAAAAGCCAAGCGGUAAGGAAAAGCUGACCGCGUUUCAGAGCAAGAGGCAUAAAAUCUGAAGUAGGUAAUGUUCUUCCUCCACUUGCAGCCACUCAUCUCCUCUCAGCCCACAUCCCCCCUCCCGGCCUCCACCCGCUGGAGGUGCCCAGUGUCUGGCAGAGGCCCCUUAGCCUCUCACCUGGCCUGUCAUUCACAUGCUGUAAGAAAGCUCUGUCUCCACUGACCUCCAUCAGAGCCUCUCCCAGCCAACUUUCUCAUCAGGCAGUAGUUGAUUAGCGUAUUCACAUGAAGUCAUGGUUUACAGUAUCGAGUAGGAGAAAAAACACACAUCGGAACAGUGGUUUGCAAAGAUGUGAUCUAAUCACAGCUGUCUUAUAGUGAAUGAGUCACAUCACCUGUCAUGGCCUCAGUUACUCAACUGUGAAGUCAGGAGGCUUGCUCUAGAACCACUGCCCUCAUAUUUUGAUCUCUGAUCCCCUUCACACUGUUAAAAAUUAUUGAAUCCCCAUAUUUGUAUAUGUGGCUUAGAGCUAUUGAGAUUUACCAUUUUGGAAAUUAAAACCAAGAAAAUCAACAUUUGUUAUUUCAUUUAGAGAUAACAUUAAUAAACCCAUUACAUAAAACCUAACAUUUUCAUGACAACUGUAUGUUAUGAAACAAAACAAAUUUAGCAAGAAGAGUGGCAUGACUUUGCAUGUUUGCAAAUCUCUUUAAUAUCAGGCUUAGCAGAAAAGAGCUGCACUCUCAUAUUUGCUUCUACAUUCAAUCUGUUUUCAUAAUUGUGGAUUUUCAUCUUUGGUACUACGCUAAACUAAACAGAUGGUAGUUUCUUAAAGGUUAGUUACAAUAUGGAAUCUGAAAUCAUAUCAGUGAACUUUUCAUGCUUUGUUACAUUAAAUCCAGUGUUCCAUAUUGUAAUCUGAAUGGAUCUUUCUAUCCUGCAUAAUGUUGUAACAUCAUGUGUUGGUCAUCUGGAAAAUAUCAGGUCACCGAGUUAUGCAGAUCUUCCACGUUUUGACACUUUUCAUUAUGUAAUAUUAAAACAUCUCACUAUGUAAUAUCAUGACCAAUCUCUUCAAAGUCUUUAAAUAUUAGGACAAUGUCAAGUUCAUGAGGAUGAAUGCAAGUUUUCUAAAAUUUGAAUUUUCAUUUAAAAGUUUAAAUUGUAUUAUUGGUAACAAAUACUGUCAGGUGUUUUUCCUUGCAGACGCUGGCUUAGUUAAUU